AUAACAGGGCAUUCGUGGUGUAGUAGUAUUUUUUCUGGAGGUGUAUUUCUAAUGAGAAGAAAAAAAUGCACCAAUUUCAUUAUCCUGAUCGAGUAGCAUCUUUAUUGCAUCAGGGAAAAUGGUUUGAUCAGACCUUACCGUUGGACUUUAUUACUGCCUUGUUUGAAAAUAAUUUCAUAGUGGAUCACAAAAGAAGAUCCGGUUCCAGGUCAUGCUCUCCUACACAGGCUUUGUAGAACAUACAGAAGUGUGACAUGUACACUUAUAGCUCUCCUUGGAUGCCCUUGUCAAACCUGAGCAGAAGUCAUCAUCCAUACUCUGUUUAUGUGCGCGGCCCUUAUCAAACGGCUGCAGGAAUCGUACAAUUCUUGGUGGGAUUUUAAUCCACUAAUCUUGACUGCAAGACAUGUUUGCAGAAAACUCUCUUUCUUACUGAGUGAGGGCAUCUUUUAGUUAAGACACAAGAAAAUAUUAAAGGUGACCUAUUAUGCCCCUUUUUACAAGAUGUAAUAUAAGUCUCCAGUGUCUCGAGAAUGUGUCUGUGAAGUUUUAGCUCAAAAUACUGCACAGAUCAUUAAUUAUAUCAUUUUGAAAAUACCUAUUUUGAGUGGAAGCAGAAACACAGAUUUCAUGCAU